ensembl:lncRNA
AAGCCAUUCUAUGAUUCUAUAAUAGUUACUCCAUGGCAGAGUUACUCUCUGGUAGAUAGAUGCUGAACCUUGUCUAUUCAUAAUAGCCAACAGAAUUGACAGGUCUUCUGUAAUAGCACAGAAGAAUGUAAUUAUCUUCACAAAAGGUCUCUGUAGCAGAAUUUCCUGCGUAUUGCUCAGCAAGACAAGAACAGCCACACUGACAUGGAAACAGGUGUGCUCUCACUGCCUGCCUGUAGUCAGAAACACUCAACUAACUUAUGAACAAAUAUAGUGCUUUUCUUCAGCAUGUGUGGAAAUGAUGACUAUGCUGACAGCAAGACAGGUGAAAAAGGUGACUAAUGGCCCUUCAAAAAUCCACACAAUGUUUCAGCUAUAACUUGCCUUACUGCUUUGAAGAUAACACAGAAAGGAAUGUGAAACAAAAUAAUAAGGACUUGUGCCUUUUGGGCUUUAAAAGCUUUAGCUUGCAAGCCUAAGUAGCUUACUGUUAAGUGUAGAGACAUCUCUAUCUUAACUGACGGUGACUGUCACAAUACUGUGUGUCAGACUUGAUUUGGAGAGAUUGACAACACAUACUUUAAUGAAGUAUGGUUAUUGCUGUCACAGACACCAGAUGAGCAGUCAGAAAAUAAAACUAAGUCCAGCAUCUGGUACAAAGUCUCUGGUUUUAAUUACCAUUGUUUAAUUACCUUUGUUAAAUGAACAAAGGUGGUGAUUGCACCAAAAAUGAUUUAUGUUAGGAUACAAAAAUAUCCUUGCACAACUGUCUUAUUUUUUUUUUCAUUUGAUGCUUGCAAUGUAUUCGAAGUAAUAAAACUAUAUAUAAACAUCAUCAUUAAAUGUUCCUUCAGUAUAUAAACUUCAGACUGAUUUUCCUAGCUUAAUUUUGUUCUUAACAGCAGGGAAGAUAAUGUAUAAUAUACAGUUAUAGUUAGCUUUGUGUUGACAAUUUCAUAUAAAGUUCAGAGCUAAAUCUUCACUAAGUAACUUAUUUUCUAAAUCAGAAAAUCUACUCCUUCUUUAAUCAACAGAGUCCAAUCCAGAGGAUCACUGAAAGUCAUGUUCCCCACACUGAGGGCUGCAAAAUGAGUACAUUACCAUCAACAUCUCCCUUGUUUUACUAGUUGAUCUGAUCUUUUAAUGUGCCUUUUUCUUUCUUUAAAUACAGUUUUCUCCCCAGUGGGAGAUGCUGUUGCUAGUGAGGAAAUGGUGAAAAUAUUUUUAUAUAAAAACAAAAUGAUUUGGAUGAUUGUGUUUCCCAUCCUAGCACAACGGUGUAAACAAGUCUGUACAAGGAGGUGUGAAGUAGUAGAGCUAAACAGGGAUGCUGAUCUUGUUAAAUCUUGACAGGACAGUAGGGGCUCCAUCCUCUCAAAUCCUAUUUAGACAUAAAAGGAUUGAUUUAUAUACCAUUUACUUGGCUUUGUGACUGUGUCCUUAUCUAGAACGUUAUUUAAUUAACCAUUAUAACAUAGUUUUUUUCUUAAAAAUGGUCUUGGUUGAAAGAUUCUUGUGUGCACUUAAAUGUGUGAAUAAUACUACUUGCAAAAUGGAAGGUUUACAGUGUUAGGAGGCUGGCACAUCUAUGUAGAUGCAGGCACAACUAGACCAAGGUACUGACUGAAUGCUCCUUUGGGUACCAUUGAAAUGUAAGCGAAACAUCCAGUAUUUUAAGAAAAUGUAUGUUGUUACAAUAGAAUGUGCUCAGUUUGUUUUUCCAAAUUCAUGAAUAUAAAAUAAACAUUUGUUGU